GACGAACGCUGGCGGCGUGCUUAACACAUGCAAGUCGAACGGAAAGGCCUGCUUUCCCUUGUGGAUUGCGGGUACUCGAGUGGCGAACGGGUGAGUAACACGUGAGUGAUCUGCCCCCAACUUGGGUAUAAGCCUGGGAAACUGGGUCUAAUUCCCGAUAGGACUGCAGGGUGGUGCCUGUGGUGGAAAACGAUUUUCUAGUGGUUGGGGAUGAGCUCGCGGCCUAUCAGCUUGUUGGUGGGGUAAUGGCCUACCAAGGCGGCGACGGGUAGCCGGCCUGAGGGGGUGGCCGGCGAACUUGGGACUGGGCUACGGCCCAGACUCCUGCGGGAGGCAGCAGUAGGGGAUAUUGCGCAAUGGGCGGAAGCCUGCUGCCGCGACGCCGCGUGGGGGAUGACGGCCUGCGGGUUGUUAACUCCUUUCAACCGCGAGGAAGCCACCUGGUUGGAAGGGUGGUGACGGUAGUGGUAGAAGAAGCACCGGCUAACUACGU
rnacentral:rRNA from 1 species